GGCCGGGUAGCUGAGUGGUCAGGCAAGGAUGUGCAAAUCCUGUACAGUGGUUCGAAUCCAUUCCCGGCCU
rnacentral:tRNA from 1 species